AAUCAACGCUGGCGGCGUGCCUAACACAUGCAAGUCGAACGAGAAAGUGGAGCAAUCCAUGAGUACAGUGGCGACCGGGUGAGUAACACGUGACUAACCUACCCUCGAGUGGGGGAUAACUCCGGGAAACCGGGGCUAAUACCGCAUAACAUCGCUUGGUGAAAUUCCUUGUGAUCAAAGGAGCAAUUCGUUUGAGGAGGGAGUCGCGUCUGAUUAGCUAGUUGGUGAGGUAACGGCCCACCAAGGCGAUGAUCAGUAGCCGGCCUGAGAGGGCGCACGGCCACACUGGAACUGAAACACGGUCCAGACUCCUACGGGAGGCAGCAGUGGGGAAUUUUGCGCAAUGGGGGAAACCCUGACGCAGCAACGCCGCGUGGAGGAUGAAGUCCUUUGGGAUGUAAACUCCUUUCGACCGGGAAGAUUAUGACGGUACCGGAGGAAGAAGCACCGGCUAACUCUGUGCCAGCCGCCGCCGUAAUAC
rnacentral:rRNA from 1 species